rnacentral:tRNA from 1 species
UCAAAGAAGAGAGGGUCUAACUCCCAUCUCUAGCUCCCAAAGCUAGUAUUAUGGUUUAACUAUUCUUUG